GAUCGAGCAACGGAGCAAAGUGCAUCCACAGUGAAAAACCCACCUGGGCCGGCUGAGGCAAUGAGUAGAUCGGCAGCUGUGAUUGGGGGAGUGGUCAUGUCGAACACCAUGUGGGCCGAGAGGCCUAAGUGGGAAAGGCGCAUGCACAAGGCCUUCACCAUUAGGCCCUCUCGGCCAACCCCAUAGAGGAAGACGCGGCCGUUUCGAGCGGCGGUGGAAGAGAGCUCGGUGACCAAAAGGUCGAGGACCGGCGGGUACGGGUGGGUCGGCACGGUGAAGAUAGAGGCUAAGUGGCUGCAAAUUUGGAAAGCAAGCUCUGAAGCCAUUGGUCUCAG
rnacentral:lncRNA from 1 species